UACGAAGGGGGCUAGCGUUGCUCGGAAUCACUGGGCGUAAAGGGUGCGUAGGCGGGUCUUUAAGUCAGGGGUGAAAUCCUGGAGCUCAACUCCAGAACUGCCUUUGAUACUGAGGAUCUUGAGUUCGGGAGAGGUGAGUGGAACUGCGAGUGUAGAGGUGAAAUUCGUAGAUAUUCGCAAAGAACACCAGUGGCGAAGGCGGCUCACUGGCCCCGAUACUGACGCUGAGGUGCGAAAGCGUGGGGAGCAAACAGG
rnacentral:rRNA from 1 species